GCUCGGGUGGCGGAACUGGUAGACGCGCUAGACUAAGGAUCUAGUCCAAGCAAUUGGGUGCAGGUUCGAUUCCUGUCUCGAGCA
rnacentral:tRNA from 2 species